UGUUGGUAAGGUAGUGGCUUACCAAGGUGAUAACGGGUAACGGGGAAUCAGGGUUCGAUUCCGGAGAGGGAGCCUGAGAAACGGCUACCACAUCCAAGGACGGCAGCAGGCGCGCAAAUUACCCAAUCCAGACACUGGGAGGUGGUGACGAGAAAUACCAGGUCGGUCCCAAAAGGAUUCGACACUGGAAUGAGUUUAAUUUAAAAAUUUAAACGAGAAACAACUGGAGGGCAAGUCUGGUGCCAGCAGCCGCGGUAAUUCCAGCUCCAGUAGUGUAUCCAAACGUUGCUGCGGUUAAAACGCUCGUAGUUGGACAAGAGAGUAACUUGGUGCGGGCGGGGAGUGUGAAGCUCUAUGUGUUUGCCGGUUGUGGUUGGUGUUAUCCGUAUUGUGUCAAAGCUUUACGAGUGCACUGGCGCUUCAGGAUGUAGCAUAGUAGUGCACUCGUCGACCAUGCUGCCAGGUUGCUUGUAAUGUUUCGUGAGAAUGGUGCAUGGUCUUUAUUGUAUUGUGUACUGUGUCUUACGUAGUGUGCCUUGAAUAAAUCAGAGUGCUCAAAGCAAGCUAUCGCUUGAAUGUUAAUAGCAUGGAACGAAUGUGUUGUGAGAGUGUGCUAGUGACUGGGCUUCGUGCACGGUCCUAGUGCAUAGCACCAACCGCGAAGCGGAACAUUGGUUGCCGACUUCGGGUGAGGAUUAAGAGGGGCAUUUGGGGGCAUUAGUAUUUGGCCGCGAGAGGUGAAAUUCUUGGACCGGCCAAGGACUAACAAGUGCGAAAGCAUUUGCCAAGUAUGUUCCCUUUAAUCAAGAACGAAAGUGAGAGGUUCGAA
rnacentral:rRNA from 1 species